UAGUCUUUUAUAGUAUUUGUUUUGUUUUCACUGAAACCUCCUGGCUAUGGGUGGGAUUUUGUCAUGAAGUGUUUUUUUUACAACAAAAAAUCUGUUAUAAUCUAGGUGCCAACAUUUUGUUCAUUUAUUAAGUGUGACAUUUUAAUCAUGAAGUUUUAAGGUAUAUAGAAAAUCAGUCUGUUCAUGGAUCUUGUUUAGGCAACUCCUAUUGAAUGGCUACAUAGAUAUUGGGAAAUUGUCAAGAGUUAUAAAAUACUACAUGGGAAUGUACUUAAAGGGAUAUAUUCCCAAGUAUUACAUUGCUAAAGGGAUAUAUCCAAAUUUAUUUUGUUUAGUAUUGCAAUAUAUCAUGUGACUUGCAAGCACUGCUUCCAAAUAACUGGACAGUUAUUGAUGAAACACAAUGUGGAAUACCUCGCUGGGCUGUACAAAUUGGAAUAUAAUGCCGGUCCUUUUUAUGAAAGGGGGCUAAAUCUAAUUACUUACUUCAAUAUCUGCUGAUAGUCUCUCUUAAGUACAACUCCUUAAAUAGUUUUUAUCAACCAAGGAUAAACACAAAGGAAUAAUAUGUCAGUAGCUGCUAGUAUUCCUUUGUUAAUUUAUGUGUCAUUGUAAUUUGCUAAGUUUCUUGUGUAACCUAUUCUGACAUCAGACUUCUUUUGAACUGAGUUUUACUGUGAAUAUUACUGUGUGUUUUGUAUAUUCUACAUUCUCUAGAUAUAAUGGGGCAUUUUUGUGCCUGUCAAAAAGACAAGAGGCUCUAGCCUUUGUUAGUUUGUAUGUUUUUUUAAAUUUUAGUUCAUUUAUAUAUUUUGGAGUUUAGUGUGACGUCCAUUUUCACUGUUAUUUUUAUUAUAAGUCAUUUAUAUUUUCAUUACACUAAUAUGAUUGAAGGGCAGGGGUAUCAACAAUUCUACUUUACCUAUUGUUGAUUUAAAACUAAAGUGCAAGAAAAUUAUACUUAUGAACCUAAAAUUAUUGCAUUCCAUUUAUCUUACUAAUUUGCAUUGUUAUGACAGUAUUGUACACUGUCAACAACCAAAAACUUGAAGUUUUUCAGGGAGCAAUUGAUAAUCAGCAAACUUUUAGUUUGUUUUAAUGUAUAAAAAUACUGAUCUCGAAGGAAAAUCUAAACGGAAAGUCCCUAAUUAAAUGGAAAAAUCAAAAGCUCAAACACAUCAAAGAUUGCUUGAAACAAAUGAAAAUCAAACUAUCUCUGCAACACUGAGAUUGUUCUCUACAUAUCUUUACAUAUUUUUGUGAUAUUAUUUAUGCUGGCAUUUAGCUUUAUCACAAUGUUAAUAAAUACAGAUUGUGUAUAGAUAAAAAUAUGUGUUCAAAAAUGUUUGAGAUAUUUUUAAGGC
rnacentral:lncRNA from 1 species